UAAAAAUUAAAAAGUUCAAAGUGGAGGAGAAACGAGAAAAUUAUAAAAUGUUCGCUUGAUUAAUAGACUUGUGCAAAUGUUUCAUAUCUUGAUCACAAUGUAUCAUGUGUGAAAGGAGGCGAAGCUUUGGGAAUCACAAAUGGAUUUCGAGGAUGCGCUAUUUGGCUGGCAGGAUUAUCUGGAGUCUCAAGAACUGAUAACCAGUUGGAGUAUAACCUACCAUAACAACACGUCUUCCUUCAGCUCUGAAUUUAGGACCAACUUUUCGAUGUACCUUGAUAUAGGCUAUGCAGCCAAAUCUUUUCAACUGAUUGAUAUCAAAGUGAUGAUCAGGAGCGAAUCUUUCCAAUGGAGUUAUCAUAUCAUUUGCUUUAUGUGGCGUUCUAUUAUAUGCAUAUACAGCAGCG